UACGUAGGGACCAAGCGUUGUUCGGAUUUACUGGGCGUAAAGGGCGCGUAGGCGGUGCGGUAAGUCACUUGUGAAAUCUCUGAGCUUAACUCAGAACGGCCAAGUGAUACUGCAGUACUAGAGUGCGGAAGGGGCAAUCGGAAUUCUUGGUGUAGCGGUGAAAUGCGUAGAUAUCAGAAGGAACGCCGGUGGCGAAAGCGAAGGACUGGACCUCUUCUGACGCUGAGGCGCGAAAGCUAGGGGAGCAAACGGG
rnacentral:rRNA from 1 species